CUCCGUGGACUAAACCAAAGCCCACUCAGCCCAUUAUUACAGCUCUCGUCCUCCACGACGGACGUCUGCUCUUCGAAUCGGCAAACUUCAUCGGAGACUCUGCUUAAAACACUCGACUAAAUAAAUUCAUCAAUUCUUUUCCACAGAAGAAAAAAAAGGAAAGAAGAAACUCUGCCGGAAAUGCAGAGCCAAGAGGACAUUCGUAAUUUACCUAUCGAUAUCGCAUUCGCUCGUCUGGGAGAAUGGUUGGUGGAUCGGAGGAGAAUUCCGGCGGACUGGCGGAAGCGAUUGGCGGCAGUGAGAGCCAAGAUAUCGGCAGCGUUUGCCUCGCUUCCCAAAGACCUUGAUCCUUACUUCCAAACCCUGGACCCUGAAGGCAUUAGGUACUUAGAAGCCAAAGAAAUAUAUGAGAUUCUCCUCAAGUCAACUCCAGAAAGCCGUAAUAUAUUUGGAAGGCUUUCAGGUGCUGCUGGUGCUUGGGAGGCAAUUGUGCGUGCUUUUGAGAAGGAUUCAAUUUUCCUGGGAGAGGCUGCUCAGAUAAUGGUCCAAAAUGUUAAUUAUGAAAUACCUUAUCAGAAGAAGCAGGUACAGAAGAUUCAGCAGCAACUUGUUGAACUGGAGCGGAAGGAAUCUGAGAUAAAAAGAAAUGCAGCCCUUUCAGCAACUAAAUAUGCAGAGGCUUGUCAGGAUCUGGGAUUGCAGGGAGUAAAUGUGAGGUCAGAGCUGUUAGAAACUGCAAGUAAAACUCUUCCAAGCACAUUUAGCAGGAUACUAGAAGUAUUGAAUGGUGAUUCUGUGUCACUGGCUAUUGAAUUCUAUUCAGCCUUUGUCAGAGAUGCUCAUUCUGAACAGGAGAAAACUGUGGGGACUGUGUUGCCAAAUUUAAGAGAAGUCCGUGAAAAGCCACCUUCUAUUACAAUUUCUGUUUGCUCUGAAGCUGUUGAUUCUGCUGUUGCUCAACCCAGCCAGAGCGAACCAAACAAAAUAGCUGGGGAGACAGACUUUGCAGCCGACAGUAUUGAUUGGGAUAUUACAUUGGACAGCUCCCAGAUUGACUGGGAUAUUGGUACCAUAGAAGAGACAGAAGAAAAUGGCAAUGGACUUGGUCCUUAUGAAAUUGUUAAUGCUAGUGAUUUACCAAAUUCUGCUGAUAGUGAAGGUAUUGAGUUGGAUGAGACGGGACUGAUGAAGGAGGAGUUUCCAGCACCUGAGGUUGCUACAUCAGAGAUCUCCUGGGAUAUAAGUGUUGAAAAUCCUGAAUUCAAUGUAACUGAGGAAGCUGGUUCUUCUGGUUUGCAUUCGGAGCCUUCCUUGUUCACGCCAAACACUUCAUCAGAAGUCCAAGGCAGUGCAAAAGAGAGAAGUCCCCUUCUGGAGACUGAUUAUAGGAAUAAGAUUCUUGAUGAUCUGUUUGAGGUUAAUAUGGCUUUAAACCUGUUACUUGAUACCUUUAGUAGUUGCUAUCAUGAUUUUCUUUGUUUGUUUCUUUGUUUUCUUUUCUUUUAUGAAAUUUUCUAUAUAAUUCUUGAUUUUCAUUUGACAUUCUUUCAUCAGGUUAAAGCAUUUCUGAAUCAACGCUUGAGUGAAUUAACAAAUGAAGAAACUCUGUCAUUGCAACAUCAAGUCCAGGCAGUUGCUCCUUUUGUCCUGCAGCAGUACUCUUCUGAUUCAAUCCAGCCAAUGGUUUCUGACGUUUCAUUGGUUAUAUCAUUGCUAACAAAUAGGAAAACGAGGGACCUUAUUAUGAUUCUCAACUCAAAAAGCUGAGUAUUUACUGUAGAUGCUUCCCAAUUUCAGAUUUUUGGAUAGACUGGUGAAGACCUUGGAAGACAAAAAGCACCACGAGAUCAAGUUAAAGGAGGGAUUGAAGGAUUUGGCUAUUAGGCGGAUGGAGCUUCAAAAUUUAUUAUCUUCUUCAUGGCCAAAACAAGAAUUGGCGUUAGCAAAGACCCGAGAGUUAAAGAAACUUUGUGAAUCUACACUUUCGUCAAUGUUCGAUGAAAGACCGGUUAAUAUAAUUGGAGAGAUAAAUACGUUGCUGAGUAGUAGUAUUUUCAGUGCGUAGAUGCUUGUGAAACUUCUCUCUUUCUUCCCUGUCCAUUUUUGACUAGGAAAUGGACGAACGUGGAAAUCAGAACUGAUCGUUGUAAAAACUAUUUAGCAAAUAUAUUUGAUUGAAGUUAUAACAUGGCUAGAGAUU